rnacentral:rRNA from 1 species
GUCUAUGACUAUACUAUUUUGAAUAUGCCUGAUCUAGUCUGAUAUCAGAAGCUACGCAGGGUUGGGCCUGAUUAAUACUUACAUGGAAGAAAUGUUCUAAAAUUGAUUGUCAUAAUAG